rnacentral:rRNA from 1 species
AUUGAACGCUGGCGGCAGGCUUAACACAUGCAAGUCGAGCGGGGUGAUGGUGCUUGCACUAUCACUUAGCGGCGGACGGGUGAGUAAUGCUUAGGAAUCUGCCUAUUAGUGGGGGACAACAUUUCGAAAGGAAUGCUAAUACCGCAUACGUCCUACGGGAGAAAGCAGGGGAUCUUCGGACCUUGCGCUAAUAGAUGAGCCUAAGUCGGAUUAGCUAGUUGGUGGGGUAAAGGCCUACCAAGGCGACGAUCUGUAGCGGGUCUGAGAGGAUGGUCCGCCACACUGGGACUGAGACACGGCCCGGAGUCCUACGGGAGGCAGCAGUGGGGAAUAUUGGACAAUGGGCGCAAGCCUGAUCCAGCCAUGCCGCGUGUGUGAAGAAGGCCUUAUGGUUGUAAAGCACUUUAAGCGAGGAGGAGGCUACUUUAGUUAAUACCUAGAGAUAGUGGACGUUACUCGCAGAAUAAGCACCGGCUAACUCUGUGCCAGCCGCCGCCGUAA